GGAGAGGUGACAGAGUGGCCGAUUGUGCAGCAUUGGAAAUGCUGUGUACCGCAGGGUACCAUGGGUUCGAAUCCCAUCCUCUCCGCCA
rnacentral:tRNA from 1 species